rnacentral:rRNA from 1 species
CCUACGGGGGGCUGCAGUGGGGAAUAUUGCACAAUGGGCGCAAGCCUGAUGCAGCCAUGCCGCGUGUGUGAAGAAGGCCUUCGGGUUGUAAAGCACUUUCAGCGGGGAGGAAGGCGUUAAGGUUAAUAACCUUGGCGAUUGACGUUACCCGCAGAAGAAGCACCGGCUAACUCCGCGCCAGCAGCCGCGGUAAUACGGAGGGUGCAAGCGUUAAUCGGAAUUACUGGGCGUAAAGCGCACGCGGGCGGUCUGUCAAGUCGGAUGUGAAAUCCCCGGGCUCAACCUGGGAACUGCAUUCGAAACUGGCAGGCUAGAGUCUUGUAGAGGGGGGUAGAAUUCCAGGUGUAGCGGUGAAAUGCGUAGAGAUCUGGAGGAAUACCGGUGGCGAAGGCGGCCCCCUGGACAAAGACUGACGCUCAGGUGCGAAAGCGUGGGGAGCAAGCAGGAUUAGAUACCCCGGUAGUC